rnacentral:rRNA from 1 species
AAACUUUUUUUUUAACGAAGAGUUUGAUCCUGGCUCAGGGUUAACGCUGGCGGUAUGUAUAAUACAUGCAAGUCGAGCGCCCUGCACUUUGUCUAUAAUUCGUUUAUAGGUGAGGUGCAGGGAGCGGCGGACGGCUGAGUAACACGUUGGUAACUACCUCGCACUCAGGGAUAACAUCUAGAAAUAGGUGCUAAUACCGGAUGGUCUCGUAAGAGUAAAGCUUUUGCGGUGCGAGAGGUGCCUGCGGCCUAUCAGUUUGUUGGUGAGGUAACGGCUCACCAAGACUAUGACGGGUAACUGGUCUGAGAGGAUGAUCAGUCAGAGGGAAACUGAGACACGGUUCCCACUCCUACGGGAGGCAGCAGUAAAGAAUCUUCCACAAUGGACGAAAGUCUGAUGGAGCGACACCGCGUGCAGGAUGAAGGCUUUCGGGUUGUAAACUGCUUUUCUGAGGGAAUAACUAUGAAGGUACCUUAGGAAUAAGCACCGGCUAAUUACGUGCCAGCAGCCGCGGUAAUACGUAAGGUGCAAACGUUAUCCGGAAUUAUUGGGCGUAAAGCGUCCGCAGGCUGCUUAGCAAGUCAGAUAUUAAAUCUUAAGGCUCAACUUUAAGACCGUAUUCGAAACUGCUAAGCUAGAGACAUUCAGAGGUACAUGGAAUUCUACAUGUAGGGGUAAAAUCCGUAGAUAUGUAGAGGAACACCAAAAGCGAAGGCAGUGUACUGGGAAUGUUCUGACGCU